rnacentral:rRNA from 1 species
UCCUCUAGAGAUUAGAGUUUGAUCCUGGCUCAGAAUGAACGCUGGCGGCAGGCCUAACACAUGCAAGUCGAACGGGUCCUUCGGGACUAGUGGCGGACGGGUGAGUAACGCGUGGGAACGUGCCCCUUGGUACGGAAUAGCCCCGGGAAACUGGGAGUAAUACCGUAUGUGGUCGAGAGACGAAAGAUUUAUCGCCAAGGGAUCGGCCCGCGUUGGAUUAGGUAGUUGGUGGGGUAAUGGCCUACCAAGCCGACGAUCCAUAGCUGGUUUGAGAGGAUGAUCAGCCACACUGGGACUGAGACACGGCCCAGACUCCUACGGGAGGCAGCAGUGGGGAAUCUUAGACAAUGGGGGAAACCCUGAUCUAGCCAUGCCGCGUGAUCGAUGAAGGCCUUAGGGUUGUAAAGAUCUUUCAGGUGGGAAGAUAAUGACUGUACCACCAGAAGAAGCCCCGGCUAACUCCGUGCCAGCAGCCGCGGUAAUACGGAGGGGGCUAGCGUUAUUCGGAAUUACUGGGCGUAAAGCGCACGUAGGCGGACCAGAAAGUCAGAGGUGAAAGCCCGGGGCUCAACCCCGGAACUGCCUUUGAACUCCUGGUCUUGAGGUCGAGAGAGGUGAGUGGAAUUCCGAGUGUAGAGGUGAAAUUCGUAGAUAUUCGGAGG